CAAUAGCGUAUAUUAAAGCUGUUGCGGUUAAAAAGCUCGUAGUUGGAUCUCUGUCAAGGACAACUGGUCCGCCCCUCGGGUGAGCACAUAGUUUGGUCUUGGCAUCUUGUUGGAAACUGUUGCUGCACUUGGUUGUGUGGCGCAGUGUCCAGCACUUUCACUUUGAGGAAAUUGGAGUGUUUCAAGCAGGCACAUGCCUUUGGACACAGUAGCAUGGAAUAAUUAGAUUGGGCUUUUGCUCCAACUUGUCGGUUUCUGGAGCUGAGGUGAGAAUUAAUGGGGAUUGUUGGGGGCAUCCGAAUUUAGCCGUCAGAGGUGAAAUUCUUGGAUCUGCUAAAGACGGACAACUGCGAAAGCGUUUGCCCAGGAUGUUUUCAUUGA
rnacentral:rRNA from 1 species